rnacentral:pre_miRNA from 1 species
GCCCUUCCUUCUGGUUGUCAUGGUGACAUUUUACUCAUCACAGCCAGUUUGAUGGGCUA